rnacentral:rRNA from 1 species
GACAGAGGGUGCAAACGUUGUUCGGAAUUACUGGGCGUAAAGCGUGUGUAGGCGGCUUUGCAAGUCGGCUGUGAAAGCCCAGGGCUCAACCCUGGAAGUGCACUCGAUACUGCAGAGCUUGAGUCUCGGAGAGGUUGGUGGAAUUCUCGGUGUAGAGGUGAAAUUCGUAGAUAUCGAGAGGAACACCGGUGGCGAAGGCGGCCAACUGGACGAAGACUGACGCUGAGACACGAAAGCGUGGGGAGCAAACAGG